rnacentral:lncRNA from 1 species
CUUAUUUCCAUCCAGCUCAAGUAUAUGGGCUCAUCACCAUAGGAUACUUUCACAGCUUGGCCCUGCUGCAGGUGGAGGUGCGAGGCCAGCACGGCAGGCAGGUGCAGGAAGCAGUCCCGGGUCCCGCUCAGCACGACCGUCGCCGCGGCGACUCCAGCGCCCCCUCCGCCGGGGUUGCCGCUGCCCCACAUGCCGGCGGCCGGCUGGGCUGGACCCCGCCGCCGCUGCGCGCCCGCCCCGCCCCGGCGCCGAGCUGCCCGCUCGGGGCGGCCGGGCCUUCCCGAGAUUCCUUCUCCU